GAGAUUUAUCCUGGCUCAGGAUGAACGCUAGCGGCAGGCUUAACACAUGCAAGUCGAGGGGUAGAGGUGCUUGCAACCUUGAGACCGGCGCACGGGUGCGUAACGCGUAUGCAACCUACCUUUUACAGAGGGAUAGCCCAGAGAAAUUUGGAUUAAUACCUCAUAGUAUAUAGUCUUCGCAUGUUGACUAUAUUAAAGUUCCAACGGUAAAAGAUGGGCAUGCGUCCUAUUAGCUAGAUGGUAAGGUAACGGCUUACCAUGGCAACGAUAGGUAGGGGUCCUGAGAGGGAGAUCCCCCACACUGGUACUGAGACACGGACCAGACUCCUACGGGAGGCAGCAGUGAGGAAUAUUGGACAAUGGGCGCAAGCCUGAUCCAGCCAUGCCGCGUGCAGGAAGAAGCAUCUAUGGUGUGUAAACUGCUUUUGUACAGGAAGAAACACCCCGACGUGUCGGGACUUGACGGUCUGUAAGAAUAAGGAUCGCU
rnacentral:rRNA from 1 species